rnacentral:rRNA from 1 species
AUUGAACGCUGGCGGCAGGCUUAACACAUGCAAGUCGAGCGGGGUGAUGGUGCUUGCACUAUCACUUAGCGGCGGACGGGUGAGUAAUGCUUAGGAAUCUGCCUAUUAGUGGGGGACAACAUCUCGAAAGGGAUGCUAAUACCGCAUACGUCCUACGGGAGAAGGCAGGGGAUCACUUGUGACCUUGCGCUAAUAGAUGAGCCUAAGUCGGAUUAGCUAGUUGGUGGGGUAAAGGCCUACCAAGGCGACGAUCUGUAGCGGGUCUGGGAGGAUGAUCCGCCACACUGGGACUGGGACACGGCGCAGACUCCUACGGGAGGCAGCAGUGGGGAAUAUUGGACAAUGGGGGGAACCCUGAUCCAGCCAUGCCGCGUGUGUGAAGAAGGCCUUAUGGUUGUAAAGCACUUUAAGCGAGGAGGAGGCUCUUUUGGUUAAUACCCAAGAUGAGUGGACGUUACUCGCAGAAUAAGCACCGGCUAACUCUGUGCCAGCAGCCGCCGUAA